AUACAGAGGGGGCGAGCGUUAAUGGGAAUUACUGGGCGUAAAGCGCGCGUAGGCGGCUUGGUCAGUCGGAUGUGAAAGCCCCGGGCUCAACCUGGGAAUGGCAUUCGAUACUGCCAGGCUAGAGUAUGGGAGAGGGAAGUGGAAUUUCCGGUGUAGCGGUGAAAUGCGUAGAUAUCGGAAGGAACACCAGUGGCGAAGGCGACUUCCUGGCCCAAUACUGACGCUGAGGUGCGAAAGCGUGGGGAGCGAACAGGAUUAGAUACCCUAGUAGUCC
rnacentral:rRNA from 1 species